AUUUAUAUAGUUUAACUUAAAACACUUCAUUUUCAAUGAAAAAAUGAGAGUACUCUAUAAAUA
rnacentral:tRNA from 1 species